AUGAUCCUCUUCUGCUUUGUUUUAGCACUGGUCUUGGAUUUUGGAAACGCUAAUGAGAACUCUAUCAGACCAGAUGAAGAGUUUGUGUCUUUAAACGAAGGCAGUAACACCACCCUGUCCUGUACAUUUGAUGGAUCUGCUUAUCGCCUCCACUGGUAUCGACAGAAAACUGGAUCGUUGUUAGAGUUUCUAGUGCUGAUUGAUAAAUCUACCAAAGUUGUAGUGACCGCUUCUCCUCCGCAUCCGCACGUGUCUAUUAAUCUCCAUGAUAACCGUGUGGAUUUGGAGAUCACUCCUGCUGCAGUGUCAGACUCUGCUGUGUAUUACUGUGCUCUGCAGCCCACAGUGACAGGAAAGCUUGUAACACAGCACAAAAAAGAUUUUAUAUGA